CCUACGGGAGGCAGCAGUGGGGAAUAUUGCACAAUGGGGGAAACCCUGAUGCAGCGACGCCGCGUGAGUGAAGAAGUAUCUCGGUACGUAAAGCUCUAUCAGCAGGAAAGAAAAUGACGGUACCUGACUAAGAAGCUCCGGCGAACGACGUGCCAGCAGCCGCGGUUAUACGUAGGGGGCAAGCGUUAUCCGGAUUUACUGGGGUUAAAGGGAGCGUAGACGGCGCUGCAAGUCAGGAGUGAAAGCCCAUGGCUUAACCAUGGUACUGCUCUGGAAACUGUAGGGCUUGAGUGCGGGAGGGGCAGGCGGAAUUCCUGGUGUAGCGGUGAAAUGCGUAGAUAUUAGGAGGAACACCGACUGCGAAGGCGGCCUGCUGGACCGUAACUGACGUUGAGGCUCGAAAGCGUGGGGAGCAAACAGGAUUAGAUACCCGAGUAGUC
rnacentral:rRNA from 1 species